UCGGGAGGCAGCAGUGGGGUAAUCUUGCACAAUGGGGGAAACCCUGUAUGCAGCGAUGCCGCGUGAGUGAAGAAGGCCUUUGGGUUGUAAAACUCUUUCGUCGGGGAAGAAAAUGACUGUACCCGAAUAAGAAGGUCCGGCUAACUUCGUGCCAGCAGCCGCGGUAAUACGAAGGGACCUAGCGUAGUUCGGAAUUACUGGGCUUAAAGAGCUCGUAGGUGGUUAAAAAAGUUGAUGGUGAAAUCCCAAGGCUCAACCUUGGAACUGCCAUCAAAACUUUUUAGCUAGAGUGUGACAGAGGUAAGUGGAAUUUCUAGUGUAGAGGUGAAAUUCGUAGAUAUUAGAAAGAACACCAAAUGCGAAGGCAACUUACUGGGUCACAACUGACACUGAGGAGCGAAAGCAUGGGUAGCGAAGAGGAUUAGAUACCCUCGUAGUCCAUGCCGUAAACGAUGUGUGCUAGACGUUGGAAAUAUAUUUUUCAGUGUCGCAGCGAAAG
rnacentral:rRNA from 1 species